rnacentral:lncRNA from 1 species
AACAAAUAAGACAUUCCCUGAAAAUAAGACCUAGCGCAUUUUUCAGAGCAAAAAUUAAUAUAAGACAGUCUUAUUUUCCGGGAAACACGGUAGUAGUUUUGGUUUGCUAAUGGGUUCUUUGUGGUACAGCUAAGGUAAUGCCCGUGUUUAAGGAGAACUUUAAAUGGUGGAAUACGAUCGUAUUCCGUUUUAGUGUACUGCGAAUUAUUUCUAAGGAAAAUAUGUAUUUUUAUUAUGAAAAUGCAUAUAUAAAUUGAUAAACAACCGAGCUGGCCGAAAUAUUCUGUUAAGAUUUUCCUCACACAGCCACAACGCACUGAAAAGUAUUGUUAGAAUCGGCUGUGGAGUCGGAGUCGUCAAAAAUUCCCUGGAUUCAGACUCCUUUUUACUUUCCCAACUUGUUAUGUAUAUAAAAAAACCGAAGUGAAUCGUGUCACAUUUGACCCUCCGCGUUUUUUGCAAAUUAUACGUUUGGCGAUCUCUAACUCAAAAAAUGUCAAAGGAAAAAUUCGUGUGCGCGUAUGUUGGCGUCUAAUUUGUUUUUCUUUAUUGUGAAAUAUUGUUUAGAAUGAGUGAGGUUUAAGAAACAAAAUUUGGCACUAGCAUGCGUGUAAAGGGCAUUAAUGCUAUUAAAUUUUGAUCCUUAAUGACGGUAGAGACAAGGGGUCGUGUCAUAUCCAGUGUGGUCGAACUUUGUGAAUGCUAAUAACGAAUAAAAUAUCUUAUAGAAUAAUCCAGAUGAGUUAAUAAACUCAAGAGUUCAAACGGUUUCGGUACACAGGAUACGUCAUAAGAAUGUACUGUACAUUAAUUUAAUUGUAGUCAUGUUUGAUUCAAACGAACAACGAAUGAUUUUUUCUGCAUUAAUUAUUUUUGUAAUAAAAAAAAUGUCCAAUUGCAAGAAAAGCUUAAAUGGCAUAAAACGUUAAUUUCAUAGAAGAGAUCGAAAUAAUGGAAAAGUAUUGCCUUCCGUAACAACAAAAUAUUAUUAUUGUGAUUGUUUGCGGACAAUUAAUGUUUGCAAAUAAAAUUUUCGGAUUGUAAUGAUAAUUACUCUCUCAAAGAGAGAAAAAAUACAAAAGAAACUGGCUUUAAUCUGCGGUAUGACUUGAAGAGAUAAAUUGAGAAGAUAGGUGAAAGGUAAAAGGAAUUUGGAAAGAGAGAAAAUACGUCGUCCCGCGAAACUAACUCCGUCUAUUCACCAGAGGAUCGGCCUCAAAGGGCAGGUCAAAUUCCGAGUAUUUCCAAUAGAAAAAUUCUAAGGGUGAAAAUGUAAAACAAGACAAUCCUGUUAUAUACUUUGACGGGUUGCUGUCUUUAGAUUUCAGGUAAGGUAUUAUGUAUUCGGGCUUGGUAUUAAUGUCAUUUAUUUCCUGAGGAAAGUGACCAACAUUACUUAACGGUCACAAUAUGAAUGGAGUGAUGGUUCGGGAUUAUUGUAAAAGUUUUGAUGGGUUGGUAGUUGAUUGCAUGACGACGUUCUCCUUUGGAGCGAAUGGAAGCGCUAUGAGUCCCAAUUAAGUUACGGAUGGCAGCGGAUAUUUUUCAGGUCAAACAAAAUUUUGCAGAUGAAAGUGAAGAAUUGUGUUGUAUGGAACCUAGCUCCCCAUUCAGGAGACAUCUUUUCUUAGCACUUUUGUGCCAGUAACGUAAAAAUGAAAGCAUCCAGUACAAGACACUGUUCAUUAGUUACGUAAGCAGACAAGAUCAGGUGUUACUUGGGAGAAAGAUAGUUCGGUUUGUGCUGGUGUAUUCUACGGUUGAAUUCGUAGUUAAUUUUUUCUAUAAUUUCCUUCAUCCGAUCUUUUAUAGAGAUAAGCUAUAAGAAUAUACUAUCAUCGUACUUAUAGAUUUUUGAAAACUUUGUGAAAAAAUUUUACAAAUUAAAGAGGUUGUAUCUUUGUCUUCACGUCCACUCUCUCCGUUUCCAAAAAUUUCAGUUUAGCCUAAGAACUGCGAGGAAAUCAAUUAUAAGAGUUGGUGAUACUUCUGAAAAUAGUUUGAGUAUUAACAAUAAAUUUGACAUUAUUAGGAAGUACUGUAUUAGAAAUGAAAUGAAUGGCCGUAAGUUUGUCACUACGACUGAUAAUCCGAAACAACUUAGGAGUUUGUAGUACAUGAUCUCUUCUAUCAAUCGGAUUUGUGCGCUUUUUUUCUCUUCAGAGCGGUUGUUUGAUAUGACUGGCAGGAUGAUUGUAAUCUGUGGGACUGACCUGCGUGACCUGCCACAGCCUGAACAAGAACAUCUACUAUCUCAUUUCCCCGAUUGCCACAAUGUUCUCUCAGCCAGUUAGGGAAUAAUGAUUGGUGAUGAGAUACAGGUGUUUAGGAUGUUCCCGAUGAGUGAAUGUAAGCAGUUCUUAUUCUGGAAAGAGAAAACGGCUGACGAUCUCUCAGAGAAGAUUACCACUCCUUUUUUGAGUGUGUUACCUCGCAUCUAUGAAUGGCUUAAUCGGUUGCGAGCAAUUACGAAGUAAAGUGCUAGGAUCGUGGUGAAUCUUUAUUCCAUUGAGAUAAGUCAAAAUGCGGAACCACUUCCAGUGAAUUUCUUCGAACCAUCAGUGUAUUCUAUUUCAUCUGUUGCAUCGUUUGAAGGGUGCAACCUAUAUCUUAGGUAGGACGAGGAAGCUUAUUGAAGCAAAUUUUAGUUUCAAGUUAAUGGAGGGGAGAGUGAUGUCAUUUCCUUUCGCAACAAGAUAGCGAGAUCCAGCAUAUUCUACACAACGAUUAAUUGGCAGAGUUUUGCUCAAGACAUGUAAGGACACAGUUAAGGCUGUUGAAUAUGACUGAGGCAGAAACAGAAAUGCCAUUCUUCGGGCACUUUGUAGCCGUUGCAUGUGGCGAGACUGUUGGCUACCACACCUACAGAUGGUCGAAACGUAUGUGGUGAUUGGAAUAAAGACAACAUUGUAGUUGGGACCAAGUGCAUCGUGGUUGAGACCCCAGUUCUUGGCCACUAUACAGAGUGAACUGACGAGGAGACAAUUUUCCAGCUCAUAUACAAUGGUGCUAGUAGCAGAAUGAACUGAACUUCAAAAUAGGUAUGAAUCAGAAGACAACGAUUUGUUUCCUGGCUCCUAGGUAAAGCUUUAAUAGAACUUCUCAUUAGCUGCUCGUGAACCGCAAAAGAGCUGUUGUCGGACACUUAAUCUGGAAAAAGCCUUUCGUGGCAAAUCCAAUUUUUACUGUUUUAUUGAUGCGAUUGAUAUUAGUGGGAAUUUCCAACUGCGGUUCAGGAAAGUCGUUAUCGGAAUGGAAAAUGGAUCAUUAACGAAAUCGAUCCUCUAGGGAACAAAGAUAAAAUCCGCAAAAUACAAUGAGGUGAAAUGAAUUAGUCUUAACUUGGGUCGAAUGCAAUUAACGGAAAGUUGGGAGAGGAUUAGAGUGAUAGUCCUAAAUUAUAAUAAGAAUUAAUAGCUUAAGUUUUCUAUUUUUUGCUUACACUAUAAGGUUUAAAAUACUUAACAUAAAUCAUGAGAUCGACGGAGUAUUUUUUGGGUUGGAAUGGGUAUAGGAAGAGAAAACAGGAGGACAAAAGUCAUUAUCGGUCGUUUUACCUAUGAGAACUUCGCGCGCGAUCCAGUUUUUCUCUCUACUUGCUACGCUGUCUAGCAAGUAGGGUUGGUUUCUGGAUACAAAAAAAACCACCACAAAGUGGGUGUCACCUUGACGUGGUU